UCGAGAUUGAUAGAGCGGUGGGGCUUACUGUGCACCAAGUCGAGAAAUUGAGGGAAAUGAGCCCCCUUUAUGAGAUGGUUAAGGAGGGUAUUGACAUUAAGAGUAUCGAAUGGACACAACACUGAAUGGUUGCAUUCUUUGGGCAUUUUCUGCUACUGACAAUGAUUAACCAGAGAUGAACACGCUAGGUGAGGUUGCAGAUCAGGCAUAGAGACUGCAAGCAAUCAAGGUUUUGUCCAAGAAUGCGCCCAUUACAUGCUUCUUUAUGUUUUGUUCUGCAGGAUAAAUAUUGCAAGUGAAUUGGUAUUUAUAUAUCAUACAUUGGCAGUCCCAUAAUUCAGCUGUGUUGAUAUUGAUUGAUGUUUUAAGAUUUUGGGUGUGCAGAUUUU